GUAGCGUAGCGCGGUGGCAAGUGCGUGGGAUUGUCCUCCUGAGAUCCAGGGUUCGAGUCCCAGCGGCGCUACA
rnacentral:tRNA from 1 species